UGACGAGUGGCGGACGGGUGAGUAAUGCUUGGGAACUUGCCUUUGCGAGGGGGAUAACAGUUGGAAACGACUGCUAAUACCGCAUAAUGUCUUCGGACCAAACGGGGCUUCGGCUCCGGCGCAAAGAGAGGCCCAAGUGAGAUUAGCUAGUUGGUAAGGUAACGGCUUACCAAGGCGACGAUCUCUAGCUGUUCUGAGAGGAAGAUCAGCCACACUGGGACUGAGACACGGCCCAGACUCCUACGGGAGGCAGCAGUGGGGAAUAUUGCACAAUGGGGGAAACCCUGAUGCAGCCAUGCCGCGUGUGUGAAGAAGGCCUUCGGGUUGUAAAGCACUUUCAGUUGUGAGGAAAAGUUAGUAGUUAAUACCUGCUAGCCGUGACGUUAACAACAGAAGAAGCACCGGCUAACUCCGUGCCAGCAGCCGCGGUAAUACGGAGGGUGCGAGCGUUAAUCGGAAUUACUGGGCGUAAAGCGCACGCAGGCGGUUUGUUAAGCUAGAUGUGAAAGCCCCGGGCUCAACCUGGGAUGGUCAUUUAGAACUGGCAGACUAGAGUCUUGGAGAGGGGAGUGGAAUUCCAGGUGUAGCGGUGAAAUGCGUAGAUAUCUGGAGGAACAUCAGUGGCGAAGGCGACUCNCUGGCCAAAGACUGACGCUCAUGUGCGAAAGUGUGGGUAGCGAACAGGAUUAGAUACCCUGGUAGUCCACACCGUAAACGCUGUCUACUA
rnacentral:rRNA from 1 species